AGUGAACGCUGGCGGUAGGCCUAACACAUGCGAGUCGAACGGCAGCACAGUAAGAGCUUGCUCUUACGGGUGGCGAGUGGCGGACGGGUGAGGAAUACAUCGGAAUCUACUUUUUCGUGGGGGAUAACGUAGGGAAACUUACGCUAAUACCGCAUACGACCUACGUGUGAAAGCAGGGGAUCUUCGGACCUUGCGCGAUUGAAUGAGCCGAUGUCGGAUUAGCUAGUUGGCGGGGUAAAGGCCCACCAAGGCGACGAUCCGUAGCUGGUCUGAGAGGAUGAUCAGCCACACUGGAACUGAGACACGGUCCAGACUCCUACGGGAGGCAGCAGUGGGGAAUAUUGGACAAUGGGCGCAAGCCUGAUCCAGCCAUACCGCGUGGGUGAAGAAGGCCUUCGGGUUGUAAAGCCCUUUUGUUGGGAAAGAAAAGCAGCAGGUUAAUACCCCGCUGUUCUGACGGUACCCAAAGAAUAAGCACCGGCUAACUUCGUG
rnacentral:rRNA from 1 species